AAACUGAAGAGUUUGAUCCUGGCUCAGAUUGAACGCUGGCGGUAUGCUUAACACAUGCAAGUCGAACGGUAACAGGACGCUAGGAACCCUUCGGGGUGACUUUGUCGCUGACGAGUGGCGGACGGGUGAGUAACGCGUAGGAAUCUGCCUAGUAGUGGGGGACAACUUGGGGAAACUCAAGCUAAUACCGCAUACGCCCUACGGGGGAAAGCGGGGGAUCUUCGGACCUCGCGCUAUUAGAUGAGCCUGCGUUAGAUUAGCUUGUUGG
rnacentral:rRNA from 1 species